UACCAUUAAUAAUAACAAAAUAAUAAAGUUCCAGCCCUCAUCUGUAUAUAUAUACGUCUCAAUCAGUCCCUCAACUGUUGCUAUCCUCCUGAGUCCUCUUCUCUCUCUCUCUCUCUCUCAACCAAGCUUGCACUCUUCCUCUCAUUCUAGUUUUUUUUUUAAAUAAUAUUCUUAUAAAGGUUUGAUGAGCUGAUGUAGCUAAAAGAAGUGAAAAAACCAAAUGGGUUCUCUUUCUUUUUAUGUGAUCUUCGCCGGAAUCUGACAUGAGGUGGUACUUGCUAUAUGUUAGUCUCACCACACACAACCAGAGGGAGUGUGUUUUUGUCAGAAUCUCGCCGGAUAAAUAAAUCUGAUCCACUUAACUAAAAAUCUUUGAUUUACCAAAGUACUGAAACUCGUUAGUUCUUGAUUCCAUUUAUUAGAUUUUUUUUUCUUUCUUUCUUCUCAUCUGAUAUAAAAAAAUAUUAUUAUAUUUUUAAUGUUGAAAACGGGUUUUGUCUUGUUAUAAAGUUCUGAGUUAAACAAGGUUGUAGGAUUCUUUCUCGGGCAUCCCCUUCACGUAUUCCCUUUUGGCCUUAACCAAUGGCAACAUGCCACAUCAGCUCCUUGCUCGUGGGUUUGUUGGUUUGCAUAUGUGCUGUCCAAUAUUUCUUUGUUUUUCACUUUUUCUCAAUUUUUUUCCUUACAAGAAUUUGCUAGAUAUAUAUUAUAUGUUUGCUUAAUUUCAAUCUUGAAACCUUGUAGAGAGGAGGUAAAAAGAUGGGGCAUGGAAUUGAAGGCUAAAGGGGUUCUUGUGCAUGGAAAUAUUGACAAUCGUUGUUUGCGGGUGGAGCAUCAUCAAGAUUCACAUGCAAAUGCACGGCCGGUGAUGUUAAGAGUUAAAUCUUUCUUUGUUUCUGUUCAUCUGCCAAAGUUCUUUGGAAGUGAGAAUCUUGAUGAUGCUGCAUCGGCAAUAAACGACUAUACAACACAAAAGGACUUGGCAAAAAAAAAAAAAAAAAAAACAGUUUGUGAGUGACACUUUGCUCCUGCUGACCAACAGCAAAUUAAAGCUUGCAGAGAAGGAAAAGGAAGGACACCCUUCGUUUUGCUGACUUUAGCAGAUCUGUGAUUAUUCCCUCCGAGGAAAAUAUUCAGGGGAUGCAAAUGGUAUCUUUUCUGUGUUGCAGAUGUGAUAGGUAACUUUGUCAAUAAGCAAGAAAGGUGAGGGAGGGAGGGAGGGAGGGAGAGAGAGAGAGAGUGUUGAUACCCUUGAUUGUGUUGAUGAUACGAUACGAGCUUAUAAAAUAAUGGGAUUAAAUAGGUGAAUAUACUAGACCCCUUACUGUUUCCAUUUCUGGGUGUUUGAUUUGAGAUCCGUUACAGAUCUUUGAUUUGUUUCAAAGAAUGAUUGUUUUGGGUGGUUUUCGAUUCUCUUUUUUACACAAAGGCAAAGCAACGAUUAUGUAUGUGGAGGUUCUUUCUUUCCUUGGAGGAUAGACAUUGUUCAUUGGAGUCUGAUAAGACAGGAAGUAGAGCAUUGAAGCAGAAGCUGAUCACAUUGGUAAGGAUAAGAAGAAAAAAUAAAGUGAGUAGUUUUUAUCAGAUUUUGUUGUUUAUGGGGUUUUUUAUUAUAUCAGCUAAAAUAGCUUUACUUGAGUUUCAGAGUGUUCUCCAUCCCACAAUCUUUGUCUUCACUGGAAAUGGUUCAAAAUACUCUUUGAUUAUUUUAUGGACAUUCUUCCAAAUGGUUUUUUCUGUGGAAUCAGUAGAUCCUUGAAAAUUAUUAACAGUUUUGAGAACUUUGGCAUGCCAAAUCAUGGUGGGAACAGGUCAUAUUCUCACUGCCAUGGUUGUGUAGGCUUUGGCAUUAGAUCUCUGUACUCACCAAUCUUGUUGGUGGACCAUCUAUCUUGCAACUUGGACCCUCGCCUUGUAGUCCUACUUUUUUGCAGACUUAUUCAGUCCACCUAUUUUUCACCUCUUUCAAUAAUAGCAACCUAAGAGAUUUGGCAAUUUAUUCUCCUUUUCUAUUCACUAUCCAUGACAGUGAUAACUCAGCCAUUUCAAGAUUAUAGAGAUCUGUGUGCCUCCAUCGCUGUCUUAAUCAUUGGUUCACCUAUUCCAUGCCCGUGUGGUUUCAAUCCUCCCAUCUACUCUUCUUCUUUAUGAAUCUGAAACGAGGCAGUACAGGAAGGGAAAAUUUAGGUUCACUGAUUUACGAACUGUUGUUUUGUUAUGUAUGAGUUUUAUUUCCCGUUUUGUGAUUCAAGAUGUUUCUUUUAACAAUUUAAUCUAAGCAAUCUAUCACUGGUCUUUAGAUGUUAAAGUUCGCAUUAAUUUUUCAAGAUUACGUUUUACUAUGUUUCCCUUUAUAGACUACUCUCAUCUCCUUGUGGAAACAUAUGAUCAAGUUGUUCAAGUAGAGUUGUCCCUCUAGCUAGUUCUCCUAGAUCAGAAAGAGAGAAUUAAUAUAGCAGAAUGUAAGCUCAUAUAAUCAUAGUCUUAUCACGUAGUUUUCUCAUUGAAGUUACGCUGUUUUAUGUGUUUGGUUACUCUUCUGUUAUUAGAAGCGACAGAGAUAGCGGCGAUAGAGAAGCCAUGUUGCUUUAUAUUUUUUAUUUUAAAAGUAUAUAAAUUCAUUUUAGAAUUGAUUCAUAGAUAGAUUUAUUUUAUAUUUUUGUUUUUAUUUUUUCUGUAUUUUUUUUAUCUUGAGAUUUAUCUCGAGACACUAACCAAACACAACUUUAAUGUUUGACACCGAUAAGAUUGCUUUGUUUUUUGGUCAUAAAGUUCUUAUUUUUUGUUCACUACUAAAUUCCAUUACAUUUGAACUUCUUUAGUUUUCAAUAUUGGAUUGGAAUUUCUUUAGUUUAUAUCCCAAUUUUCCUUCAUUAGUUAUUGAAACCACGUUCAUGAACUAUUUUGAGACUACAUUUUACAAGUCUUGUAACUAAGAUACUGUAAGUUACUGUUUAACUGCAAUAAUCUGCAAAUAAUUGAAGCAGCUCCUGUUCUUCGACCAAGUUAACAGUUUAAAUAAGCAAAUACUCGCACAAAAUCUACUCCCCCUCUUUAGGCUACAUGAUCAUUGUUUUAAUAUUUCAUGUCCAAAAAAUCAGAGAUUAUGAAUUACAUGUCCUUUCUGUUGGUAA